ACUAAAAUGCUGACGAAUGGAUAC
rnacentral:siRNA from 1 species